CAUCGUCGAUUACAGCAAGCGUUGUGUUAAAUUUGAUUCGUUAAAUUAAUUUCGCAAAACGAAAAUGUGCAUAGGUUCUGGUCAACUGGACGGAGACAAAUGAGACAAGUAUCCUGGACGAUUCAAUAGUUCCAGAGAUAAAAUAAGGUUCGAGGACAACCGAAAGAUUGAGAUGGAGAAUAUGUGGAGACCCAAAGUUAACAAGAACCCUCCAAGAAGAAUGUCUGAAUGGCGUACUGUAUUCAAGUGUUGUCGAUUCUAUUCAUAUAGGUUGCACUAGAUACAUUUUGUCUCAAAGGACUAUUUUGCAUCUUUAAAAAAGCCAACAUGCAAGUAGACUAGUAUGUGCUGCAAUGACAAACAAAACAUAUACAGUAUCUGCAAUAGUUGAAUACCCAGAUAUCCAGUCAGCAGCUGUAAAAACCAAGAUGACUAAAGUAGGUGAAGAUACAAGGCGCUCCAUGUCAAAGGGAAUGGAUACAGCAGCUAAUGUUUAAAAACAGGCGCUUAAUGUGCAGUAAUUUUUUAAAUUUUAAAUUGUAAUUAUCUUUGCUAAAGGUAACAAAGUGUUGUAAUUAAAUUUUAAAAAAAAGUUUAUUUCAUAUCCUACAGAUGAGCUGCAGCAUGCUUUACCAUCUAAGUAACUGUUCGCCUAUAUGCAAUAAGAAGAAUUUAAACAAUUGUAAACUCAUUGCUACAUUAACUUAACAACUAUUAAAAUCCUUGACUAAUUUUAAGCAAAGCAAUACCUUUAGUGUGAAGCAGUUACUGUAUACAUUUGACUAAUGUAUGUUUUUAACUUAAAAAUGUUAUAACACAUACAUAAUUCGUCUGACUAUUAUGCAAAUGAA